rnacentral:rRNA from 1 species
UACGUAGGGGGCAAGCGUUGUCCGGAAUUAUUGGGCGUAAAGAGCGUGUAGGCGGCCAGAUAAGUCCGCUGUGAAAUCUCGAGGCUCAACUUCGAGCUGUCGGUGGAAACUAUCUGGCUAGAGUCCGGAAGAGGAGAAUGGAAUUCCUGGUGUAGCGGUGAAAUGCGCAGAUAUCAGGAAGAACACCCGUGGCGAAGGCGGUUCUCUGGGACGGUACUGACGCUGAGACGCGAAAGCGUGGGGAGGCGAACAGG